ACAAACAGAUACAAUGCAAAGGAUAUCGAAAAAGAAUUUGGCUCGGGUGGUUUUGCACCAUUUGGCGUGAGUGGAAUCCUAACUGGUGCUGCUACUUGUUUCUAUGCAUUUGUGGGUUUUGACUGCAUCGCAACCACAAGUGAGGAGGCCAAAAAACCCCCAUGCGUUCCAUCCCGAAUUCCGGCAUUAGUGGCC